GGACAGGUGCCAGAGCGGUCGAAUGGGCACGCCUGGAAAGCGUGUGUACCUGCAAGGGUACCGAGGGUUCGAAUCCCUCCCUGUCCGCCA
rnacentral:tRNA from 1 species